rnacentral:rRNA from 1 species
UACGUAGGGGGCUAGCGUUGUCCGGAUUUAUUGGGCGUAAAGAGCGCGUAGGCGGCCAUGUAGGUCCGGUGUGAAAACUCGAGGCUUAACCUCGAGAUGUCAUCGGAAACCAUUUGGCUAGAGUCCGGAAGAGGAGAGUGGAAUUCCACGUGUAGCGGUGAAAUGCGUAGAGAUGUGGAGGAACACCAGUGGCGAAGGCGACUUACUGGGCUGUAACUGACGCUGAGGCGCGAAAGCGUGGGGAGCAAACAGG